AUUGAACGCUGGCGGCAUGCCUUACACAUGCAAGUCGAACGGUAACAGGUCUUCGGAUGCUGACGAGUGGCGAACGGGUGAGUAAUACAUCGGAACGUGCCUAGUAGUGGGGGAUAACUACUCGAAAGAGUGGCUAAUACCGAAUGAGAGCUACGGAUGAAAGCAGGGGAUCGCAAACCCUUGUGCUACUAGAGCGGCCGAUGGCAGAUUAGGUAGUUGGUGGGAUAAAAGCUUACCAAGCCGACGAUCGGUAGCUGGUCUGAGUGGACGAUCAGCCACAAUGGGACUGAGACACGGCCCAGACUCCUGCGGGAGGCAGCAGUGGGGAAUUUUGGACAAUGGGCGCAAGCCUGAUCCAGCAAUGCAGCGUGCAGGAUGAAGGCCUUCGGGUUGUAAACUGCUUUUGUACGGAACGAAAAGCCCUGGGUUAAUACCCUGGGGUCAUGACGGUACCGUAAGAAUAAGCACCGGCUAACUACGUGCCAGCAGCCGCCGCUG
rnacentral:rRNA from 1 species